rnacentral:other from 1 species
UCAAUCCUGCGUUGUGCGAAUUGUUGCUCUCUUUUUUAAUCCUACGAGUAUUAGAUAAGGGAUUCUUGCUCCGACACGGAGAGCACACCUUUAAUAAAAGGAAGCUUAAAGGAAUCGGGCAGUCUUUACCCACCGUCAAACAGACGGGUUCUAAACUGAGAGCAGACGGCAAUGUGGGAUUGAU